GAGAAUAUGAGCUAAGCCGCAAAUUAGUUGGUCGAAAUCUCUAUAUUAUUGAACACGUACAUUAAGUAUUGUAAAUAUUUUUUAAAUGCAUAUCGUGAAUAUCAUGAUAACCAAUUUGGUACAUUGAACUAAACAUUUCUUCUCUUUUUAAUUAUAUUAAAUAAUCAUUUAAUCUGACUAUGAUAAUCAAUUUAAGAAUUAGUUUAGUAAAUAGUUCAAAUAUUUAUUUAAAUUAGUAUAACGAUGACGUGGUGACAUAAACUUACACUGAAUUUUCAACGCAUAAUUUAAAAGUGUUCCCGGGCUAACACUAUUAUCCCGAUAAACGAGAUUUACUAAAGGAAACGAAGGCGAAAGCAGUAAAAUUCCAAUAGCCUACAAGUAUUACAAAGGCCCGAAUUGACUGAUAUUUGAAUUAUAAUUCCAAAGAAGAUAUAAGAAAUUCCACUAUCUCGUGUUAAUGAAAUAUUCUAUAUCGGAAGUGAAACAUAUUUACAUUAGCCUGUUCUUCCUUAUAUCCGACGAUAAAUCCUACAUGGAGAGUACAAAUGCAAUCAACCAGAUUAAGAUAUGAAAACGUUUUCCUUUUUCUUCUUAUAUUUAAGUGGAAAAUCAGUCAAUGCUGUGUUUAUCGAAUGAUUUUAUGAAGUCGACAAAUGUAUUUCUAUUGAUAAGUGAAUUUA